rfam:Hadesarchaea archaeon DG-33-1 WOR1_52_54_7359, whole genome shotgun sequence.
GCGGGGGUGGCUGAGCCUGGUCAAAGGCGUAGGCUUUAGGAGCCUAUCCCGCAGGGGUUCCAGGGUUCGAAUCCCUGCCCCCGCA